AGCGAGGCUCCGUGCAGCCGCUGCCCGGGCUCCGUGGGGCCGCCUUCGCCGCCGGAAGCCCAGCCCCGAAAUGGCGGCGUGCGUUUGACCGGCGGCUCGUUGACGCGGCGAGCGGGGCGGGGGCUGUCCCCUCUCCGAGGUAACGCCGGGGCAGCCGGCGGCGCCAGGCUUUCCCCGAUACCCUGAGAAGUCCUCUGCGGCAGGGGAACGUACACAGACAUUACGUUUUUUUGGAAGUUCUAGAUGUAAAUUCCUGUGAUCCAACCCAAGGAAACAUGAGAAAGCAGGAAGUGAGAUGAGGGAAGAACCUAAGUGUUAGAAAGAGAAAAGGAGAAAGGGGGAAAAAGUCUCAUACAAACCUCAAGCAUAACUGGCCCAGGUUUAUUGCUCAGCAGGAGAGCACCUUUUGCUGGGUCUAGCAUAUGGCCAACAGAAGCUAUGUCAGUGUCUGCAAACUCAGCAAAUUCUGAAGGAAACUGGAUUAGGAAGCCAUUGUAUGGAUUAUUUCAAUACAAUUCCAGUAUGAUUGGACUAGAAUCAUUAGCUGAUCCCACAGACACCUGGGAAAUUAUAGAGACUAUUGGAAAAGGCACUUAUGGUAAAGUCUAUAAGGUUGCCAAUAAGAAAGAUGGGAGUCUGGCAGCAGUAAAGAUUCUCGAUCCUAUUAGUGAUGUUGAUGAAGAAAUUGAAGCAGAAUAUAAUAUUUUGCAGUUUCUUCCCAAUCAUCCUAAUGUUGUUAGAUUUUAUGGGAUGUUCUACAAAGCCGAUCAAUAUGUGGGAGGACAGCUCUGGCUAGUACUUGAGCUGUGCAAUGGAGGGUCUGUCACAGAACUUGUCAAAGGUUUGCUGAAGUGUGGCCAACAAUUGGAUGAAGCUAUGAUCUCAUACAUCUUAUAUGGUGCUCUCUUGGGCCUUCAGCAUUUACACAAUAACCGGAUCAUUCAUCGAGAUGUCAAAGGGAACAACAUUCUUCUGACAACAGAAGGUGGAGUCAAGCUCGUUGACUUUGGUGUUUCAGCCCAGCUCACCAGUACACGGCUACGUAGAAACACCUCAGUGGGAACACCCUUUUGGAUGGCUCCUGAGGUCAUUGCUUGUGAACAGCAGUAUGACUACUCAUAUGAUGCUCGAUGUGACGUAUGGUCUUUGGGAAUAACAGCUAUUGAACUCGGAGAUGGAGACCCUCCUUUAUUUGACAUGCAUCCGGUGAAAACUCUUUUUAAAAUUCCAAGAAACCCUCCUCCUACUUUGCUGCAUCCUGAAAAAUGGUGCAGAGGAUUCAACCAUUUCAUUUCACAGUGUCUUAUCAAGGAUUUCGAGAAACGUCCUACAGUCACCCACCUUUUGGAGCAUCCAUUUAUUAAACAAGUGCAUGGUAAAGAUAUGUCUCUGCAAAAACAGUUGGCUGAGCUUAUCCAAGAACAGCAGCGACUAGGCUCUGUAGCAAAAACAAGGCAUGAACGAAUACAUACCAAAAGACCCUACCAUGUGGAUGGAGCUGACAAGUACUCUCAAGAUGAUGAUCUGGUAAAUCUAGAAGUUCUUGAUGAGGAUACAAUUAUCCAUCAGCUGCAGAAACGCUAUGCUGACUUACAAAUUUAUACGUAUGUUGGAGAUAUUUUGAUAGCCUUAAACCCUUUCCAGAAUCUCAGCAUUUACUCUCCACAGUUCUCCAAGCUUUACCAUGGUAUGAAGCGCUCAUCCAAUCCCCCCCACAUAUUUGCCUCUGCAGAUGCUGCCUACCAAAGUAUGGUGACAUUCAGCAAAGAUCAGUGCAUUAUCAUCAGUGGGGAAAGUGGUGCUGGAAAGACAGAAAGUGCCCAUUUGAUCGUCCAACAUUUGACCUUCUUGGGAAAGGCCAAUAAUCGUGCUUUGCGUGAGAAAAUUCUUCAGGUGAAUCCUCUGGUUGAAGCAUUUGGGAAUGCCUGUACUGCCAUCAAUGACAACUCAAGUCGCUUCGGAAAAUAUCUGGAAAUGAUGUUUACACCCACAGGAGCUGUAAUGGGGGCAAAGAUUUCUGAGUAUCUACUUGAAAAGUCAAGGGUUAUAAAACAGGCUGUGGGAGAGAAAAAUUUCCAUAUAUUUUAUUAUAUUUAUGCUGGCCUUUAUCAUCAGAAGAAACUUUCUGAAUAUAGGCUUCCUGAAAAAAAGCCUCCUAGAUACAUUGAUAAUGAAACUGGAAGAGUAAUGCAUGAUAUUGUUACUAAGGAUUCCUAUGGAAGACAAUUUGAAGCAAUUCAGCAUUGCUUUAGAAGUAUAGGAUUCACUGAUGAGGAAGUGUAUUCAGUGUACAGAAUUCUGACUGGUAUCUUAAAUACUGGAAACAUCGAGUUUGCUGCCAUUUCUUCACAACACCAAACAGAUAAAAGUGAAGUUCCAAACCCAGAAGCCUUAGAUAAUGCUGCUGCACUGCUAAGUAUUGGGUCAGAAGAACUGCAAGAGGCCCUAACCUCCCACUGUGUUGUAACACGGGGGGAGACUAUUAUCCGAACAAACACUGUGGACAAAGCAGCUGACGUGCGAGAUGCCAUGUCUAAAGCACUUUAUGGCAGACUCUUCAGCUGGAUCGUAAAUCGCAUUAAUACGCUUCUUCAUUCCCCUUCAUUCAAUACUGAAAAUGGAAUGAAUGUUGGUAUACUAGAUAUAUUUGGAUUCGAGAACUUCGCAAGGAAUUCCUUUGAACAGCUGUGCAUAAAUAUUGCUAAUGAGCAGAUCCAGUUUUAUUUCAAUCAACAUAUUUUUGCACUUGAACAGAUGGAAUAUCAGAAUGAGGGAAUUGAUGCUGCUACAGUGGAGUAUGAAGACAACCGUCCACUUCUAGAUAUGUUCCUCCAGAAACCCAUGGGUCUCCUUUCUCUACUAGAUGAAGAAAGUCGAUUUCCUCAGGCAACAGACCUAACAUUAGUUGAUAAAUUUGAAGAUAACUUACGAUGCAAAUACUUCUGGAGACCAAAAGGAGUAGAAUUGUCAUUUGGUAUUCAGCACUAUGCUGGAAAGGUGAGGUCGUGUGAUUUUUAUUUAGUUAAAAUCAUAGUUUUGUAUGUCCCUGCUGACAUAGUGGUGUAUUCCCUCAUGGAUCUUCUAUCCAAAAUGGUUGUUGGACAGCCUCACUUUAUCCGCUGCAUUAAACCUAAUGAUGAUCGAGAAGCACUAACAUUUUCUCAUAAGAGAGUUCUACUGCAGCUACGAUACACUGGAAUUCUGGAAACCAUCAAAAUACGUCAAAAAGGAUAUUCUCAUCGCAUUCUUUUUGAAGAGUUUGUGAAAAGGUAUUACUACCUUGCUUUCAAGGCACAUGAGUCUCCACUUGGCAACAGAGAAAACUGUCUGACCAUUCUGGAGAAAGCUAAACUAGAAAACUGGAUUCUUGGAAAAACCAAGGUUUUUCUAAAGUAUUACCAUAUAGAGCAAUUAAAUUUGUUCCUGCGAGAAGUUAUAGGGAGGGUGGUGGUCAUGCAGGCUUAUAUCAAGGGAUGGCUUGGAGCAAGGAGGUAUAAGAAAGUCAAAGAAAAAAGAGAAAAUAGUGCUGUUACCAUACAGUCAGCUUGGAGAGGAUAUGAAGCUCGCAGGAAGUACAAGGAAAUAAGGAACAGAAGAAAUAAUGCUGCUAUACAUAUUCAAUGUUUAUAA
rnacentral:lncRNA from 1 species